rnacentral:lncRNA from 1 species
GCCGAGGGGUGGGGAGCUGAGGCCUGGGCCAGGCCUGCUCCCUGCAGGGGACACUUGCUGCAAAAAGGCACCAAGCAGUUCCUUCUGCUCAUCCUGCGAGUGCUGGGGGUUGGAGGAGCUGCGCAAAGAUGAGCAGGGCCCUGGAUCAAGCAGUUCUCUGUGUCUAGAGGUUUGAUCAAUGCUUCCAGACUGAUGACAGUAAGAGCAUUCAGGCAGCAGGGACCUCUUCUUCCUGAGGGUAGCUGUGCUUUGCCAAGUGGGGAGAUCCACACCUCUGCAAGGCAAUUUCUGGAGCUGUGCAGGAGCGUGCUACAUUGAGGAGGUACCCAGCAACAUUUCUGGCAAGAAGAACAAACACUGCAGGACUUAACAACAUAUUCCAGUAUUUUUCAGUUCCUGUAGAGAAAUCAGCCUUUUUGAGCAACAGAUGGAGAAACAGUGAUCCAUCAGAAAACACCUCAGAGCUGAAACUGGUGUCAUGGAGCACCCAUAGAGAGAGAACUGCGAUGGGAGACAGACUCUGGAGAAGGUGUAUGUGA